rnacentral:rRNA from 1 species
GUGCCAGCCGCCGCGGUAAUACCGGCAGCCCAAGUGAUGGCCGAUCUUAUUGGGCCUAAAGCGUCCGUAGCUGGCUGCGCAAGUCCGUCGGGAAAUCCACUCGCCCAACGAGUGGGCGUCCGACGGAAACUGCACAGCUUGGGACCGGAAGGCUCGAAGGGUACGUUCGGGGUAGGAGUGAAAUCCCAUAAUCCCGCACGGACCACCGGUGGCGAAAGCGCCUCGAGAGGACGGACCCGACAGUGAGGGACGAAAGCCAGGGUCUCGAACCGGAUUAGAUACCCGUGUAGUCC